GAUCCUGAGACCUAGCGGCCUCCUUGCCCCCACUGUGUGUGGGGUGGAGAUGAUGUAUGGAUAGGGUAACAGCAUCUUAUAUCUUACAUGGAUAGGGUAUGAUAUGUACAGAGGGAAGGACCAGUCUCCUGAGUGUGUGUGGCUUGUCUCUGCUCUCACAGCUUCUUCUCCUUGCCCAUCAAGGCAGUCCUAGGUCAGCCUUGGAUUUCAGCAUCUCAGCAUCCUCUAAGAUGCCUCAGGAUGGAAACCUCCCAGAAUCUCACCCUCCCACAAAGCAGGGGCCUUUGAUAACCUGCAUUGAGUAUUUCCAUCAAGCACUACAGGCUGCUGAGAAGGCUGUACAUCCUGACAGUAAUAACGGCCACCAUUCAAUGGACACAGAGCUAAGCACUGCCUGCUAUUUGUCCUCCUUAUCUUAUUUAAAAAAAUUUUUUAUUUAUU